rnacentral:rRNA from 1 species
UACGUAGGCAGCGAGCGUUGUUCGGAGUUACUGGGCGUAAAGAGUGCGUAGGCGGUUUUCUAAGUUUGGUGUGAAAUCUCCCGGCUUAACUGGGAGGGUGCGCCGAAGACUGGAAGGCUUGAGUAUGGGAGAGGUAAGCGGAAUUCCUGGUGUAGCGGUGAAAUGCGUAGAUAUCGGGAGGAACACCUGAGGCGAAGGCGGGCUACUGGGCCGAUACUGACGCUGAUGCGCGAAAGCCAGGGGAGCGAACGGG